GAAAUAUUUCUCAUUAUCGUGACUUUCAAAUAUAUUUCAUGUUCGUUUCCACACGAAUACGAUUUUCCUUAUUUAUGUUUACUCCAUACCGCUGAAGUGUUAUCGAAUAUUUCGUUUAAACUAUACUUACAGACAUACCACAAUUAUUUCAUUAUCAGCAGAGAAGUCUUCUUCUCUAUCGGCGUAGCGGAGAAUUACUUUCACAAAAUUGCGGUAGUCUUCCACACAGUAAUGAACGCAAGAUUUGUGUAAACAGCAUCGUUCGGUAAUCACAUAAAAUGAAAUUUAUUGCGCUUGCAUCGGUUGUAUUUCUUAGUUGCUGUUGUUUUGUUGCAACCUCAGAGAUUUUCAUUAAUAAUAAUUUAAAUAAAAAUUCGGGUUUAACGGCCUUAAUAUUUCGGGUACCUUGUAGAAGAUGGCAUCCUAGCGGCCGUUGUCUUAGGAGCUACAAACGAUUUCUUGAUGAACCGUUUAACAGAAAAUUUAUGAACCCGAAGAAGAAUAAAGAAGGAAGAAACCCCUAAGCCCAUAUUUAAAUUUCAAGUGUUGACCGUUUGAGCAACUAGAAUAAAAUGUGUUCAUAAGCAUACUGAAUAUAAGAAACAGUUA